rnacentral:rRNA from 1 species
GAAACCAACAGGGAUUGCCUUAGUAACGGCGAGUGAAGCGGCAAAAGCUCAAAUUUGAAAUCUGGCACCUUCGGUGUCCGAGUUGUAAUUUGAAGAAGGUAACUUUGGAGUUGGCUCUUGUCUAUGUUCCUUGGAACAGGACGUCACAGAGGGUGAGAAUCCCGUGCGAUGAGAUGCCCAAUUCUAUGUAAAGUGCUUUCGAAGAGUCGAGUUGUUUGGGAAUGCAGCUCUAAGUGGGUGGUAAAUUCCAUCUAAAGCUAAAUAUUGGCGAGAGACCGAUAGCGAACAAGUACAGUGAUGGAAAGAUGAAAAGAACUUUGAAAAGAGAGUGAAAAAGUACGUGAAAUUGGUUGAAAGGGAAGGGCUUGAGAUCAGACUUGGUAUUUUGCGAUCCUUUCCUUCUUGGUUGGGUUCCUCGCAGCUUACUGGGCCAGCAUCGGUUUGGAUGGUAGGAUAAUGACUAAGGAAUGUGGCUCUACUUCGGUGGAGUGUUAUAGCCUUGGUUGAUACUGCCUGUCUAGACCGAGGACUGCGUCUUU